GAUGCCAUGUACAAAUUACAUCCUGCUAAAACAGCUCAUCUCUGUGCUCUUAAAAUGAAAACCUCUACGAGGAAUCACUUAGACACCUACACCUUAUCUGUCCUCGUAGCCCCUCAUGUGCUGUGGGAUCCAACUUGCUGAACUCAUGAUUUGGGAGUGACCUCCCAAAAUAGAUAUCUAUCAUACAUAUCAUGAUUGACAACUGUGUAGAUAUAUUUGGAUAGAAUAACAAUAUCGUUGUGACCAUAACCAAAAGAGGUCAGAUGACAUAAAGACAUCAGUAAAUACUGCUGCAGGGGAAAAUGAAACAACUUCAACAUAUAUCUUUUCACAAUGGAAAUUUCCUCAUGACUGAAGAAGUUGCUGGUCAUUUUAUUUCAAUGUUCCCUUC